UGGCGAACGGGUGAGUAACACGUGGGUGAUCUGCCCUGCACUCUGGGAUAAGCCUGGGAAACUGGGUCUAAUACCGGAUAGGACCAUGCUUUAGUGUGUGUGGUGGAAAGUUUUUUCGAUGUAGGAUGAGCCCGCGGCCUAUCAGCUUGUUGGUGGGGUAAUGGCCUACCAAGGCGGCGACGGGUAGCCGGACUGAGAGGUUGGUCGGCCACAUUGGGACUGAGAUACGGCCCAG
rnacentral:rRNA from 1 species